GCUUUUGUGGUGUAAUGGUAGCACACUCAGCGCAUAUUCAAGAAGUCCAGGUUCGAAUCCCAGCGAGGGCA
rnacentral:tRNA from 1 species